rnacentral:rRNA from 1 species
UACAGAGGGGGCAAGCGUUGUUCGGAAUUACUGGGCGUAAAGGGCGCGUAGGCGGCCCUCUAAGUCAGACGUGAAAUCCCUCGGCUCAACCGGGGAACUGCGUCUGAGACUGGAAGGCUUGAAUUCGGGAGAGGGAUGUGGAAUUCCAGGUGUAGCGGUGAAAUGCGUAGAUAUCUGGAGGAACACCGGUGGCGAAGGCGGGACUCUGGGCCGAUACUGACGCUGAGGAGCGAAAGCGUGGGGAGCGAACAGG